GAUGAACGCUGGCGGCGUGCUUAACACAUGCAAGUCGAGCGAAGCACUUAAGUUUGAUUCUUCGGAUGAAGACUUUUGUGACUGAGCGGCGGACGGGUGAGUAACGCGUGGGUAACCUGCCUCAUACAGGGGGAUAACAGUUAGAAAUGACUGCUAAUACCGCAUAAGACCACGGUACCGCAUGGUACAGUGGUAAAAACUCCGGUGGUAUGAGAUGGACCCGCGUCUGAUUAGGUAGUUGGUGGGGUAACGGCCUACCAAGCCGACGAUCAGUAGCCGACCUGAGAGGGUGACCGGCCACAUUGGGACUGAGACACGGCCCAGACUCCUACGGGAGGCAGCAGUGGGGAAUAUUGCACAAUGGAGGAAACUCUGAUGCAGCGACGCCGCGUGAAGGAUGAAGUAUUUCGGUAUGUAAACUUCUAUCAGCAGGGAAGAAAAUGACGGUACCUGACUAAGAAGCCC
rnacentral:rRNA from 1 species